CUCUCUCUCUGUGUGUGUGUCUCUCACGAAUAAAUAAAAUCUUAAAAAGAAAAAAGACCUCCCCUAAAAAGUUGAGGACAGAGGAAACCAGUUUGGGGUGGGGUAGAGCUAUUGCCUGUCAAUGCUGCAAUUGAGAUUUCUGUAAGCUGGAGUUUGGAUGAGGUGGAAAUAGUUGAGAGUAUACUGAAAAGAAAAGGGUUUGGUGUUAGAACUCGGCUACUUCCUCACUAUUGGAACAGGGCAACUCAUAAAACCCUUUAAAGUUCUCACUUUCUUCAUCUGUAAAAUCGAGCCCAUGAUGCUCAAUUAAUUGUGGGGCUUCAGUGGCCUCAUGCAGACUGAGAGUUGGCGGAAAGCCUGGCACACUCUAAACCCCUAUGGAGGCUGGUUUCCCCUGAUUCCCCUUCCUUUGGGACCUCAGUGUGGAACUUAGAAUCUGGACAGAACAGACGGACUGUUUCUGAAUAGUCCUCGCAUGUUUCUCUUCUCUCCUGUUGCAGUACUGGCAGGCAUUGGGUUGUGUACCCCACAGGGAUGGCUUUGUGGUCUGUGCCAAGACCAAGUACCUCUCUCAACCUCUACUGCCUUGGUUUUACCCCUUUCUGCCCUCUUCCCUGCUCCCAGGGUCCCCAGAACUGCCUGGCUUGUGCGGUAGCCACUGUCUCACAGCAAACACACCGAGACCCUGAGAUGGAAGAGUGGGGCCAAAGAGAGGAAACCUGACUCCAGUUUCUCCCAGACCCUCAAGAGCCAGAGUCUGAAUGGUCUGGGGCCUCUGUGAGUUGUGGUUCUGCAACUUGCUGGAUGAUGAAAAUCACCUGGUUAUAAAAUGCAGUUUUCUAGGCCCAGUCCCUGGGAGUCCAAUUCAAUGGAGGAGUUCAGGCAGGCAGGGAUUUGGGUUUGGCCAGCCUUCAGCAAUUUGUGCCUUUAGGCAAGUUGGAGAACUGCUGAGAAUGGUUCAAGGCCAGGGCUCUACAGGCAUCAUCUGAUUCAAGCACAGGCUCCCCUAGUCUGCGCUACCAGAGUGGCCUUAGAUAGGCAAUGUCCUUAACUUCUUUGGGUUUCAAUUUCCUCCUUGGGAAACAACAGAAUGAGAUUUGCAGGUUUAGCACUUAGCCCUAGGCUUGGCACAAAGCAAUCGCGAACAGAUGUUAGGCAAUAAUCUAAGUUGUUAUCCCGUGCAGCUGUGGGUUGGAGCAGGAUAGGGAGCCUGUGGUGGUUCUGGGUGACCAGCCUGUGAGGGGUGCUCAUUUUCCACCCUGUUCUGCCGUAAAGUCUCCUGAGAUGCAGGAGAGUGCAGCAGGGUGUGUGUAGGGGGGCACAUUGUCCCCCUGGAACCCCAGCUGCUAUGCCUCCCCUCACUGUGAGAUUUUGGGUGGGGUCAUAUCUCUCUGUGCCUGUUUCCUCUUCUACCCAAAGUGAAGAAUAAUUAUGUGCCUGGCACAUAAAAGCCUUCAAAGAAUUGUUAGCAAAUAUUAUUACUGUACUCUUUAAACAAUUGGCAAACAUUUCUUGGUGCCUUCUCUUGGAACUGGGGAUGAGAUGGUGCUGAGCACUCAGGCUUUAGAGCCAGCCUGCCUAGGAUUUUAACCAAGCUCUGGCAUUGAUCAGCUGUGUGAUCUUGGGGGAUUUACUCCUCUGUUUUGAACCUAAGACUGAUUCUUCAUCUAUUUCCUCAGUAGAAUUCAGAGGUGUGAAAGAGGAUUAGAUGGGUUCACUCUGUAAAGAGCUCAGAACAGUGCCUGGCACAGGGUAAACUCUAGUAGUAUUAAAUAAAUGAAAUCCAAGCCAUAGGCCCCCUUGCUAGGAGCCCAGUGUAAGGGGCAAGUAGGCAAGACCUGGGGACUAAGCCUCCUGCACAGCUGCGCAGGCCCGGGUCCCAGAGGAGGCAGGGGCACUGCCCAGGAAGGGUGCGCUUGCCAAGGAGCACAAGGUGUCAGUUGGCAGCGAGCCCUGAGUGCUCUGUGAGUUCUUUUAAACACAGGUAUUGAGAUACACAACAUGGCGUUUAUCUAUACAAAUAGAUAAAUAGAUAAAUAGGUAAAUAGAUUUACCGUGUAUCUAUACAAAAUAAGAAGAUGGGAGCUAUUCUGAUUUGGCAACAGCUUUAUCUGCUGGCUGGGAAUAAUGCAAGGAGGCAAGAGCACAUCCGGGCCAGAGUCGGGCCUGAUCAGGAGGAAUGAGGUGUCCUGGCCUCUGUUUGGGGGGGGACGAUGGGGGGACACGCAGCCGGGUCUCUCCUCUGCCAGCCUGCGCAGGGCGGGCGCCUGGCUGCGGGAACCACUCCACCCCAGCCCGAGAAGCUGGCCUUUUUUUCUACUUAGUAUCACGGUGUAUCUUUCAUUGUUUUUUAACCAUGGGGUCGUUGUUUGAUUUUUUUUUUUAAUUAAAUAUAACUGCACUCCCCCUGGCGGUCCGGGAACGCGGAGCCAGCCUGCACCACCCCAUCUCUGCACACUUUGACACCUCGGAGGAAGCCGCACUUGUUCUCACUAAGCGGGGCGCUGGCCAGCUAGCUUGGACCUUGCAGCAGAGGAAAUAAAUCCUGCGGCCCAGACCCAAGCCCUGAGCUCAGCCUUCUCCCCUCCUUCACAGAGCCCAUGAAUGCCUGAACCUUCAACACAAGAUCAGCUGGCAGGCGGGCUCUACUUUCUAAAAUUCAAUUUGGAAGCGCCGGAAGCUGAAAGAAGCACACAUGCGGGAUCAGCGCACUCUCUUUAAUGAGAAGGGAAUUCCCAUUUCUUACAGCAACAGCGCCGGUUCUGGAACCAGAUCUUGACCUGCGUGGACGUGAGCUUCAGCACGCUGGCCAGCUGGUCGCGCUCAGGGGCCGACAGAUACCGCUGCUGCUUGAAGCGCCGCUCCAGCUCGUAGACCUGCGCCUGCGAGAAGAGCACGCGCGGCUUCCUCCGCCGUCGCGCCCUGGGUCGCUCCGCGCCGUCGGCCUCCGGCUUCUCCAGCUCCACCGCCUUCUGCAGUGAGCACAGCUCUGCGGGGAAACAGAGGGGCAGAGGGGCGCCGGGUCAGGCCAGAGCGGCCCGCUCCGCGGGGCGCCUGCCGGGGAAUCCGCCCUGGUGGGUGCCACCGCGUGCUGCCUGGAGCGCCCAGCUUGGCUGCGGCUCGCGCCACCCAGGGCACUGGGCGCCGCGGACAGCUGGGACCGACCCGCGGCCCGUGAGCGUUUGCUGCAGCUUACUACGUGCCAGGCGGCCCAGGGCACUGGGGAGCGUCAGCCGGAGGGGUCCCUGCCCUCGCUCGGGAGUUCACCUUCUGGUGAGGGAGACGGACGGUGACUUAAGACUUCAGGCUGAAAAGAAGGUAAAGCCAGAUGCUGCCCCGGGGGUGAAUUAGAUGAGGGCUGCAGUGGUUUGGGAAUUAAUUAAUUAAUUUUUAAGAUUUUAUUUAUUUGAGAGAAAACGAACGAAAGACAGAGGGAGCACCAGACUCUCCGCUGAGCGGGGAGCCUGACGUGGGGCUCAGUGCGAGGACCCUGGGAUUAGGACCUGAGCUCAAGGCACACGCUUACGCGACGGAGCCACCGAGGCGCCCGGGUUUGAGACCAAGGCCUCACCACAGGGGCAGUCACACUGUCUCAAAAUUAUGGAACCCAGAAGAAACAGAAGGGGAAGAGCGGUUGGUUUGCUGAUGGAACACGCCCGCGCAGCCGCCAUGGGGUCUGUCCAGCUCCCAGGAGGCCGCCUGGGAUCCCGCCCUGCCCGCCUGCUCCAGCUGGAUUCGAAUCGGUAGCGGCCAGCGGAAUUGACCCUCCGGCGGCCGUCCCGGGGCCUUCCGUCUUCUGGACAAACCUCUCUAGGCCAGAAAGAGCCCUCCUGGGUUCCCCGCGGCCCUUAGCUCGGCGCCCCCAGCCACCUCGGAAUCGCGCAGAUCCCGGCCACGCGCCCCUUCCUGCCGCCCCGCCCGCCUCUCCCCUCUCCCCAAACUCCCGCUGCUCUGCGCGGCGACCCCGCCACCUUCCACGGUCUCCUUCUUCAUUGCCUCUCGCCUUGAGUCGCGCAGCAUUUUCUAACUUUUUUUCCAGCAGGAGAGAGCCCCUCAGUCCCAGUAGCGUCGGGAAGCUGGGCCGGAAAAACAAAGCUGCUAACUAGAUUCUUGAGAGUCCGCAGUAUCUCACUUUUGAAUCAAGGCCUUUGUGCCCAAAGAUUCCACUGUCCUGGUACAAGGAGGAAAAGCCCCAGAUACCCGGGCUACGGGUGGGCCAUAGAAGGUCCUGGACCCUUCUCCCUUUGUAAGCAAAACCCUGUCCGGUGUGCGGCAUUUUAACUUCUGUUUAGGCGCUUUCGGCAGAUCCUGAAAAAGACCCUUAAAUCAAAAACAAAAACAAAAACAAAACAACCCAAAA